AGAAAUGCUGAAGAAAACAGGAAAGUGUGUUAUAAUCCUAGAUGAUGUGUGGGACAGAUUCUUUCUAGAGGAACUUGGGAUCCCUGAGCUGAGUCGUAGCAAUGGAUGGAAGUUGGUGUUGACAACUCGUUCAGUGCAAGUCUGUAAACGUAUGAGUUGUAAGGAUAUACUGGUAAGACCCCUUUCAGAAGAAGAGGCAUUAAUACUAUUCUUGAAUAAAGUUGGGCCUAACAUAUUUCAACAUACUAGUAUAA